CCGAGUUUACAACUCCCAAACCCUUGUGAACAUACCUGUAUGUCGUUGCUUCGGCGGGCAGCCCCGGGGAGGGGCCGCGCCUCUAGCGAGGUGUCCGCCGGAGGACCAAACAAAACUAUUGAAAUUAUUGGCCUCUCUGAGUAUAAUACAAAUAAGUUA
rnacentral:misc_RNA from 1 species